AUCCCACUUUCUCUGCCUCAUCCUCGUCCUCCUCUUCUACCUUUCUCGCUAUCCGUGCAUUGCUGUUGCUCUGCAUCCGUUGGGGUUGAGUUCAUUACACCACUUAGGUAACUUUCCUUUCUACUGGAUGCGCCAGGCAUCAGGCUCUUGUGGAGGGUCACAGACAUUUUCUCCCUUGAUAUUUUAUAUCUACUGUAGAGAGUUAGGCUCUUUUAAGAGACAGGAUCCCCUGAUCUGUUAGGAAUUGUCUUCAGAAGUGUUCUGCUUUUGGUGUUUAUUGGCCUAGGCAAUCGACACAGGAAUAAAGAAGCUUCUUGGGCUGGUGGACAGCAGGGCCCCUCCUGUGUGCCAGGUGCCCUGCAGUGGCCUCCCCGCCCAAGGGUUCGAAUCUUCGUUGUGCCUCUGUCUCCCUCUGGCAGUCUGAUGAAGACUGCAGACCCCUUGGAAGAAUACUGUUUAAAAGUGCACAAAAUAGAGGUGCCUGUUUGGCUCAGUCGGUAGAGCAUGCAACACUCGACUCAAGGUUGUGAGUUCAAGCCCCACGCUGGGUGUGUAGCCUACUUUAAAAAAAAGUGCAUAAAAUAAAGGUACAAUGUUUUAUCAAAUUGUGAUAUUCUAUCAAAAUAUUUUUGAAAAUUAUACAGUUACCUUGACAGCCAGCUCCAUCACUCCAAGAUCUGUAGACAGGAAAACAGAGAUCGCAUGUGUUCCAGCAGUGGUCUAAUGAGUGGGUCUACGAACAACUGUGCUUUUGAAACGGGAUUCCCAUUGAAAUGAUAUUUUGAGAAACCUGCAACAAUUUUAAUGUGAUACAAAAAUAAUAUGUGAUUUUGUAUUGUUCCUCAAAGCAUGAUCACUACUGUGAAUUGUUGCAUGUGGUCCUAACAGAGGAAAUAGUAAGUUUUCAUUACAGGUUAGUAAAAACAUUGACAUUUUUUUCUCACCAGAGUUUAAUAGCCCCCCUCCCAGAUAUCUAUCCAUGGGCCUCUUGGGAAUUCUUGGGCACAAGAUUAAGAACCCCUGAAAUAGAAAAUCCAAAGAAGAGGUAUAAUGAUCAGUAAUAAGCAACUUCCCCCCUAAAAUCUAUCCAUCUAUCCUCAAAGGCAACAGCAAUAAUAAUGAUUAAUCAUGAUAGUAGUAAUAGCAACCAUUUGUUGGGGUUCCUUCGAUGUAUCAGUUACUAUAGUCAUUUAUUUCACUGAAAUCUCUCAGCAGCCCUAGGAAGUGGUGUUUGUCUCCACUGUAUAGAGUUAAAGCUCAGAGAGGUUGAGUAAUAUGCCCUAGGCCCUAUCUUUAACAAGUGGGAAAACAACGAUAUGAAUCUAGGUCAGUUAACAUGAAAACCCACACUUUUCUGGCUCCUCUCUUUGGCCCCCUGUACCUCUUCUGCUACCCCUGCCUGCUCAGGUGCUGGAGUCUUGUCUCCUCCAACACUGACUCAGCCUUUCCACCCACCUGAAGGAGCCUUGGUCAGGCCCCUGGGACCCUCGGUCGUCCCAUCCCACGACUGAAAUUUGAGUGACUCAAAGCUUCCCCUAGUUUGUAAAUUCUUUAAUUGUAGACAUUGCCAUCAUCCAGAGGAAAUAGCUGAAACAAAUUACCUUCUAUCCUAGCUUACUUAUAUUUAUAGCCCACACUCUGGGUCUGUAAUAUUCCAAACCCUUCAAUUUGACUGGAAAUUCCCUCAGAGAUUGUACUAAAACAGCUUAUUAUCACCUGGCAACAUAAAAACAAUAAGAUUACUGUAGACUCUGAGUCACCUGAAUAGCACACAUGGCCUGAAGUUUAGCUAGUUCCCUCUGAGUAUGCAUUUGUCAUAGUUACCAAAUCUACAAAUAACUAGCUAAAUACAGGGAACCUCUCGAAUUAAAAUCUAAGGACAUUAAGAAAAAAAAAAAAAGAAGAAGAAGAAGAAGAAGAAGAAGGUAGCGGGAGGGGAAGAAUGAAGCGGGGGAAAUCGGAGGGGUAGACGAACCAUGAGAGACUAUGGACUCUGAAAAACAAACUGAGGGUUCUACAGGGGAGGGGGCUGGGAGGAUGGGUUGGCCUGGUGGUGGGUAUUGAGGAGGGCACAUUCUGCAUGGAGCACUGGGUGUUGUGCACAAACAAUGAAUCAUGGAACACUUCAUCUAAAACUAAUGAUGUAAUGUAUGGGGAUUAACAUAAGAAUAAAAAAAAAAAGAAAAAAAAAUCUAAGGACAUUGAUAGAGUGUGACCUUCACUACAAUUUGUUUCUGGUACAUGUGUGAGAUCUUUUUGACUUUGUUUCCUCUGGCGCUUAUCCGCAGUGGGAACAGGUAUGGGAUUUGAUGCAACUUUUCAGAAAAGCAACUAUCUAUAAGGUCUGUAUAUCCUUUUUAGCCCCCCGUGUGUGUGUGUGUGUGUGUUUAAAACUUUGCAAAGUGCUAAAGACAGCGGAGAACUUGCGUGCUCUGAGCACUGUGGAGGAAGGAUUUGGUUAUAAAGGUUCCUCCUUCCACAGGAUUAUUCCAGGAUUUCUGUGCCAGGGUGGUGACUUCCCACACCAUAAUGGCACUGGGGACAAGUCCAUCUACGGGGACAAAGUUGAUGAUGAGGAUUUCAUCCUGAAGCACACGGGUCCUGGCAUCUUGUCCGUGACAAAUGCUGGACCCAACACAAACAGUUCCCAGUUUCUCAUCUGCACGGCCAAGACAGAGUGGUUGGCUGGUUGGCAUGUGGUCUUUGGCAAGGUGAAAGAGGGCAUGAAUAUUGUGGAAGUGUGGAUGGGUUUGUGUCCAGGAAUGGCAUAACCAGCAAGAAGAUCACCAUGGCUGACUGUGGACAAAUCUAAUACAUUUGACUUAUGUGUUAUCUUAACUACCAGACCAUUCUUUCUGUAGCUCAGGAGAGCACCGCUUCACCCCCAUCUGCUCGAAAUAGCCUAUAAUCUUUGUGCUCUUGCUGCAGGUCUGUGGUUCCAUAUUUUCCUUAUUCCCCUCCAAGAGCUGGAUUGCAGAGUUAAGUUCGUGAUUAUAAAGUAAAAACUAAACAAACAAACAAACAAACAAAAAAAGGACAUUCAGUUUCCAGGAGUAAUUUUGGGAGUGGUGUUUAUACCAAGAAAAAUAACAAAAGCCUCAAUGUCCAACAAGGAACUGGUUUGAUAAAAUGUCAGCACAAUAAAAUGUUAUUUAUAUUUAUAAUACAUAUGCACUAAGGAAUAAUAUUGGUCAGAUU